GCAAGAUGGCAGCGACCGAGACGGUUAGGCUACGGCUUCAAUUUGAUUAUCCGCCGCCAGCCACCCCGCACUGCACAGUCUUCUGGCUCCUCGUCGACCUCAACCGAUGUCGCGUUGUCACCGAUCUCAUCAGCCUCGUCCGUCACCGCUUCGGCUUCAGCUCCGGCGCGCUCCUGGGCCUCUACUUGGAUGGGGGUCUGCUGCCGCCCACCGAGAGCGCGCGCCUGGUGAGGGACAACGACAGCCUCAGAGUUAAGUUAGAAGAGAGAGAAAUUCUUGAGGAUCCUGUAGUAGUCAGGAAUGGGGGUGAUUUGCACUCAUCACCUAGAAAAGCAAAGAAGCGGACUUUAAAAUUGGUAGAGGAUGAAGAAAAUGAACUUGGGUACAGUUAUUCAAAGAAGCACUGGAAGAGGCGAAAGAGCAACAGCAAUCAGGAGAAAGCCUUGGAUCUAGAGCCAAAAGCUGGCACAGAUGGGACUGUGAAGAAAAAGAACAAGAGAAGAAGCAAAGCACCAUGUGGCACCAUGGGUGAACAGGAAGAGGAGACCAAAAGAAUAUCACCAAAGAAAAAGGAGAAGUGUGAAUAUAAGAAACAGAUCAGGAACCCCAAAUCUUCAGGAAAAGAGCGGUCCACCUGCAACAGCAAUUCCCCAAAAAGUUCUGCCAGCCUGGCUAAAAUCAGAAGUCAAGAUGGAGCUAUCACAGAACCAAAAGGUCCCGAGACCGCUUCGGAAUCAGAUUCUAGCCAGGAGUCCUCCAGUGAUGUGUUCAGCAAUGGGAACUCCUUAGACAAACUGUCAGUUGAGUUAUCAAAGGAGGGACCAGCUACCAAAAAUCCAGCUAUGAACAAAGUGGCAGCCAAAACCGCCUUUAACCUGCCCACCAGCAAGAUCAAUGCUGCCAGAGCCACAUCUUCUAGUUCAGACUCCAGUACAGAAUCCGAUGACCAGCCUGUCAUGCUCAAGAACUCCCUGGAGUGUGCUUCUGGCUCCUUAAAGACAGCGGGCCUCUUUGCAGGGCGAGGUUGUCCAGGCCCAGGGCCGUCAUCACAGGCUCCAAAUGCCAUGGGAUGGAAACCUGGUGACUCAAAUGGCAUCAAACAGACUCCUGGCCCUUUUCCCGGUGUAUCUGUCUCUGGCAAUUUGGGAAGAGGAUGGGGACGAGGGGAACCUUGGAAGGGAGUGAGGGGCCGGGGCCUGAAGGGGAGAGGUCGAGGACGAGGAAAUGUAGUUCCCUGUGUCCUGCAUAGAAGCGCCGAGUAUCAGAAGCAACAGCAAUUAAGUGAGGUUGUCUCAAACUCAUCUACCAUUAUCCAGAAUCCAGUAGAGAUACACAAGAAGGACUAUAGUCUGUUACCACUGUUAGCAGCUGCCCCUCGGGUUGGAGAAAAGAUUGCAUUUAAGCUUUUGGAAUUAACACCUGACUACACUCCUGAUGUGUCUGACUACAAGGAAGGAAAAAUAUUGAGCCACAAUUCAGAGACCCAGCAAGUAGAUAUAGAAAUUCUCUCAUCCUUACCUGCCUUGAAAGAACCUGGGAAGUUUGAUUUGGUUUAUCACAAUGAGAACGGAACUGAGGUAGUGGAGUAUGCAGUGACACAGGAGAGAAGGAUCACUGUGUUUUGGAGAGAGUUGAUCGAUCCAAGAUUGAUUGUUGAAUCAGCUAACAUCACAAGGACAGAGCUUGCCUGAGCGAGGCGUCUUCAUCAAGGCCGUCAAUGUAUUGCUUGUAAAAGUGACUGCAGCCUCAACUUUUUUUUUUAAAGCAUUGUCAAAUACCAAUUUGCUUGGUUUCUUUCUCGUUUUUUUUUUUUGACCAUCAAGUAGCAACCGUCAGGAGAAGUAACAGGGAUGAAAAGACCGUGCUGCAUAUCUUCUUUCAAUACAUUUUAUUAAGUAACAUUUGGAACUAUUGAGGUAUGAUACUUCACCUAAUUUUUUAACCAUGUAAAAGCAUAUAUUCCACUACAUGUGGAAUAACUCAUAAAUUUCAAGUAAUUCAAACUUGAAACGCUCAAGCAUUCACAGAUAGUUGGGUUUGUUACAGGUGUUAAGGAUCCUUUUCAGGUUUUUUCCACCUUUACAAUUAAGGAUUCUCAGGGCAGAGCCCCCAAAGAGCUUCUGUGGGUGUUCUACCAGGGUGAGAGGGUUUGCCAGGAGCCUUGGCCCGGGGAAGAUGGUAGCUUGCCGCAAGAUGCCAAGCCCCGGCCCAGUGUGGUGGAGGGAGGAUCAUAAACAGAAACUUGAUUUUCUGUAACUAUCAAUACAAAACUAAAAUGGCUCAAUAUAUACUGUGAAAAAAAAGCAUUCUUUUAACAAAGAGCAGAUCCCUUCACCUCUGCAGAUUUUUAAAUAAAAUCAUAUGAAAA